rnacentral:tRNA from 1 species
GUGGGUUCCAACGACUGUUAAUCGGAUGGUCGCUGGUUCGAAUCCAGCCCGGGGAGCCA